rnacentral:rRNA from 1 species
AGAGUUUGAUCAUGGCUCAGAACGAACGCUGGCGGCASGCCUAACACAUGCAAGUCGAGCGCUWCYCUUCGGRGAKGAGCGGCGGACGGGUUAGUAACGCGUGGGAACAUACCCUUCACUAUGGAAUAGCCUCGGGAAACUGAGAGUAAUACCAUAUACGCCCUUCGGGGAAAGAUUUAUCGGUGAAGGAUUGGCCCGCGUAAGAUUAGAUAGUUGGUGGGGUAAUGGCCUACCAAGUCUACGAUCUUUAGCUGGUUUGAGAGGAUGAUCAGCAACACUGGGACUGAGACACGGCCCAGACUCCUACGGGAGGCAGCAGUGGGGAAUCUUAGACAAUGGGCGAAAGCCUGAUCUAGCCAUGCCGCGUGAGUGACGAAGGCCUUAGGGUCGUAAAGCUCUUUCGCCAGAGAUGAUAAUGACAGUAUCUGGUAAAGAAACCCCGGCUAACUCCGUGCCAGCAGCCGCGGUAAUACGGAGGGGGUUAGCGUUGUUCGGAAUUACUGGGCGUAAAGCGUACGUAGGCGGAUUGGAAAGUAUGGGGUGAAAUCCCAGGGCUCAACCCUGGAACUGCCCUGUAAACUAUCAGUCUAGAGUUCGAGAGAGGUGAGUGGAAUUCCAAGUGUAGAGGUGAAAUUCGUAGAUAUUUGGAGGAACACCAGUGGCGAAGGCGGCUCACUGGCUCGAUACUGACGCUGAGGUACGAAAGUGUGGGGAGCAAACAGGAUUAGAUACCCUGGUAGUCCACACCGUAAACGAUGAAUGCCAGACGUCGGGGGGCUUGCCCUUCGGUGUCACACCUAACGGAUUAAGCAUUCCGCCUGGGGAGUACGGUCGCAAGAUUAAAACUCAAAUGAAUUGACGG